rnacentral:rRNA from 1 species
UACGGAGGGUGCAAGCGUUGUCCGGAUUUAUUGGGUUUAAAGGGUACGUAGGCGGGUGUCUAAGUCAGUGGUGAAAGCCUACAGCUCAACUGUGGAAUUGCCAUUGAUACUGGAUGUCUUGAGUAUAGUAGAGGUGGGCAGAAUUCAUGGUGUAGCGGUGAAAUGCAUAGAUACCAUGAGGAAUACCGAUAGGGAAGCCAGCUCACUGGACUAUUACUGACGCUAAGGUACGAAAGCGUGGGGAGCGAACAGG